AGGAUCAACGCUGGCGGCGUGCAUGAGACAUGCAAGUCGAACGGACACUCAGGGCUUGCUCUGAGUGUUAGUGGCAGACGGCUGAGUAACGCGUAGGUGACCUGCCCCGAAGUGGGGAAUAACUGCCCGAAAGGGUGGCUAAUACCGCAUGUGGUGAUGCGUUCAUUCGCAUCAGUAAAGCCGCAAGGCGCUUCGGGAGGGGCCUGCGUCCGAUUAGCUCGUUGGUGGGGUAACGGCUCACCAAGGCGACGAUCGGUAGGUGGUCUGAGAGGACGAUCACCCAGACUGGGACUGAGACACGGCCCAGGCUCCUACGGGAGGCAGCAGUCGGGAAUUUUGCGCAAUGGGCGAAAGCCUGACGCAGCAACGCCGCGUGAGGGAUGACGGCCUUCGGGUUGUAACCUCUUUGUCAGGGAGAUUAUGACGGUACCUGGCGAAUAAGCCACGGCUACUACGUGCCAGCAGCCGC
rnacentral:rRNA from 1 species